rnacentral:rRNA from 1 species
AGUAACACGUAGGCAACCUGCCUGUAAGACUGGGAUAACUCGUGGAAACGCGAGCUAAUACCGGAUAACACUUUUCAUCUCCUGAUGAGAAGUUGAAAGGCGGCUUUUGCUGUCACUUACAGAUGGGCCUGCGGCGCAUUAGCUAGUUGGUAAGGUAAUGGCUUACCAAGGCGACGAUGCGUAGCCGACCUGAGAGGGUGAUCGGCCACACUGGGACUGAGACACGGCCCAGACUCCUACGGGAGGCAGCAGUAGGGAAUCUUCCGCAAUGGACGAAAGUCUGACGGAGCAACGCCGCGUGAGUGAUGAAGGUUUUCGGAUCGUAAAACUCUGUUGUUAGGGAAGAACAAGUGCCAUAGUAACUGAUGGCACCUUGACGGUACCUAACCAGAAAGCCACGGCUAACUACGUGCCAGCAGCCGCGGUAAUACGUAGGUGGCAAGCGUUGUCCGGAAUUAUUGGGCGUAAAGCGCUCGCAGGCGGUUCUUUAAGUCUGAUGUGAAAUCUUACGGCUCAACCGUAAACGUGCAUUGGAAACUGGGGAACUUGAGUGCAGAAGAGGAGAGUGGAAUUCCACGUGUAGCGGUGAAAUGCGUAGAG